rnacentral:rRNA from 1 species
GGGUUGUGAGGUUAAGCGACUAAGCGUACACGGUGGAUGCCCUGGCAGUCAGAGGCGAUGAAGGACGUGCUAAUCUGCGAUAAGCGUCGGUAAGGUGAUAUGAACCGUUAUAACCGGCGAUUUCCGAAUGGGGAAACCCAGUGUGUUUCGACACACUAUCAUUAACUGAAUCCAUAGGUUAAUGAGGCGAACCGGGGGAACUGAAACAUCUAAGUACCCCGAGGAAAAGAAAUCAACCGAGAUUCCCCCAGUAGCGGCGAGCGAACGGGGAGGAGCCCAGAGCCUGAAUCAGUGUGUGUGUUAGUGGAAGCGUCUGGAAAGGCGCGCGAUACAGGGUGACAGCCCCGUACACAAAAAUGCACAUACUGUGAGCUCGAUGAGUAGGGCGGGACACGUGGUAUCCUGUCUGAAUAUGGGGGGACCAUCCUCCAAGGCUAAAUACUCCUGACUGACCGAUAGUGAACCAGUACCGUGAGGGAAAGGCGAAAAGAACCCCGGCGAGGGGAGUGAAAAAGAACCUGAAACCGUGUACGUACAAGCAGUGGGAGCCUCUUUAUGGGGUGACUGCGUACCUUUUGUAUAAUGGGUCAGCGACUUAUAUUCUGUAGCAAGGUUAACCGAAUAGGGGAGCCGAAGGGAAACCGAGUCUUAACUGGGCGUUAAGUUGCAGGGUAUAGACCCGAAACCCGGUGAUCUAGCCAUGGGCAGGUUGAAGGUUGGGUAACACUAACUGGAGGACCGAACCGACUAAUGUUGAAAAAUUAGCGGAUGACUUGUGGCUGGGGGUGAAAGGCCAAUCAAACCGGGAGAUAGCUGGUUCUCCCCGAAAGCUAUUUAGGUAGCGCCUCGUGAAUUCAUCUCCGGGGGUAGAGCACUGUUUCGGCAAGGGGGUCAUCCCGACUUACCAACCCGAUGCAAACUGCGAAUACCGGAGAAUGUUAUCACGGGAGACACACGGCGGGUGCUAACGUCCGUCGUGAAGAGGGAAACAACCCAGACCGCCAGCUAAGGUCCCAAAGUCAUGGUUAAGUGGGAAACGAUGUGGGAAGGCCCAGACAGCCAGGAUGUUGGCUUAGAAGCAGCCAUCAUUUAAAGAAAGCGUAAUAGCUCACUGGUCGAGUCGGCCUGCGCGGAAGAUGUAACGGGGCUAAACCAUGCACCGAAGCUGCGGCAGCGACGCUUAUGCGUUGUUGGGUAGGGGAGCGUUCUGUAAGCCUGCGAAGGUGUGCUGUGAGGCAUGCUGGAGGUAUCAGAAGUGCGAAUGCUGACAUAAGUAACGAUAAAGCGGGUGAAAAGCCCGCUCGCCGGAAGACCAAGGGUUCCUGUCCAACGUUAAUCGGGGCAGGGUGAGUCGACCCCUAAGGCGAGGCCGAAAGGCGUAGUCGAUGGGAAACAGGUUAAUAUUCCUGUACUUGGUGUUACUGCGAAGGGGGGACGGAGAAGGCUAUGUUGGCCGGGCGACGGUUGUCCCGGUUUAAGCGUGUAGGCUGGUUUUCCAGGCAAAUCCGGAAAAUCAAGGCUGAGGCGUGAUGACGAGGCACUACGGUGCUGAAGCAACAAAUGCCCUGCUUCCAGGAAAAGCCUCUAAGCAUCAGGUAACAUCAAAUCGUACCCCAAACCGACACAGGUGGUCAGGUAGAGAAUACCAAGGCGCUUGAGAGAACUCGGGUGAAGGAACUAGGCAAAAUGGUGCCGUAACUUCGGGAGAAGGCACGCUGAUAUGUAGGUGAAGCGACUUGCUCGUGGAGCUGAAAUCAGUCGAAGAUACCAGCUGGCUGCAACUGUUUAUUAAAAACACAGCACUGUGCAAACACGAAAGUGGACGUAUACGGUGUGACGCCUGCCCGGUGCCGGAAGGUUAAUUGAUGGGGUUAGCGGUAACGCGAAGCUCUUGAUCGAAGCCCCGGUAAACGGCGGCCGUAACUAUAACGGUCCUAAGGUAGCGAAAUUCCUUGUCGGGUAAGUUCCGACCUGCACGAAUGGCGUAAUGAUGGCCAGGCUGUCUCCACCCGAGACUCAGUGAAAUUGAACUCGCUGUGAAGAUGCAGUGUACCCGCGGCAAGACGGAAAGACCCCGUGAACCUUUACUAUAGCUUGACACUGAACAUUGAGCCUUGAUGUGUAGGAUAGGUGGGAGGCUUUGAAGUGUGGACGCCAGUCUGCAUGGAGCCGGCCUUGAAAUACCACCCUUUAAUGUUUGAUGUUCUAACGUUGGCCCCUGAUCGGGGUUGCGGACAGUGUCUGGUGGGUAGUUUGACUGGGGCGGUCUCCUCCUAAAGAGUAACGGAGGAGCACGAAGGUUGGCUAAUCCUGGUCGGACAUCAGGAGGUUAGUGCAAUGGCAUAAGCCAGCUUGACUGCGAGCGUGACGGCGCGAGCAGGUGCGAAAGCAGGUCAUAGUGAUCCGGUGGUUCUGAAUGGAAGGGCCAUCGCUCAACGGAUAAAAGGUACUCCGGGGAUAACAGGCUGAUACCGCCCAAGAGUUCAUAUCGACGGCGGUGUUUGGCACCUCGAUGUCGGCUCAUCACAUCCUGGGGCUGAAGUAGGUCCCAAGGGUAUGGCUGUUCGCCAUUUAAAGUGGUACGCGAGCUGGGUUUAGAACGUCGUGAGACAGUUCGGUCCCUAUCUGCCGUGGGCGCUGGAGAACUGAGGGGGGCUGCUCCUAGUACGAGAGGACCGGAGUGGACGCAUCACUGGUGUUCGGGUUGUCAUGCCAAUGGCACUGCCCGGUAGCUAAAUGCGGAAGAGAUAAGUGCUGAAAGCAUCUAAGCACGAAACUUGCCCCGAGAUGAGUUCUCCCUGAGACUUUAAGUCUCCUGAAGGAACGUUGAAGACGACGACGUUGAUAGGCCGGGUGUGUAAGCGCAGCGAUGCGUUGAGCUAACCGGUACUAAUGAACCGUGAGACUUAACCUUACAACGCCGAAGGUGUUU